GACGAACGCUGGCGGUAGGCCUAACGCAUGCAAGUCGAACGGCAGCACAGGAGAGCUUGCUCUCUGGGUGGCGAGUGGCGGGCGGGUGAGGAAUACAUCGGAAUCUACUCUGUCGUGGGGGAUAACGUAGGGAAACUUACGCUAAUACCGCAUACGACCUACGGGUGAAAGCAGGGGAUCUUCGGACCUUGCGCGGUUGAAUGAGCCGAUGUCGGAUUAGCUAGUUGGCGGGGUAAAGGCCCAACAAGGCGGCGAUCCGUAGCUGGGCUGAGAGGAUGAUCAGGCACACUGGAACUGAGACACGGUCCAGACCCCUACGGGAGGCAGCAGUGGGGAAUAUUGGACAAUGGGCGCAAGCCUGAUCCAGCCAUACCGCGUGGGUGAAGAAGGCCUUCGGGUUGUAAAGCCCUUUUGUUGGGAAAGAAAUCCAGCUGGCUAAUACCCGGUUGGGAUGACGGUACCCAAAGAAUAAGCACCGGCUAACUUCGUGCCAGCCGCCGCCGUAA
rnacentral:rRNA from 1 species